rnacentral:rRNA from 1 species
UACGGGGGGGGGCAAGCGUUGUUCGGAAUUACUGGGCGUAAAGGGCUCGUAGGCGGCCAACUAAGUCAGACGUGAAAUCCCUCAGCUUAACUGGGGAACUGCGUCUGAUACUGGAUGGCUUGGAUUCGGGAGAGGAAUGCGGAAUUCCAGGUGUAGCGGUGAAAUGCGUAGAUAUCAGGAGGAACACCGGUGGCGAAGGCGGCUUUCUGGACAGAUACCGACGCUGAGGCACGAAAGCUAGGGGAGCAAACAGG